rnacentral:rRNA from 1 species
AACGUAGGUGGCGAGCGUUAUCCGGAUUUACUGGGCGUAAAGCGUGUGCAGGCGGGGAACCAAGUGGUGUAUGAAAUCGCCCAGCUAAACUGGGCUAGGUUAUGCCAGACUGGUUUUCUGGAGUGCGAGAGAGGGGCGUGGAAUUCCGGGUGUAGUGGUGAAAUGCGUAGAGAUCCGGAGGAACCCCAGAGGCGAAGGCGGCGCCCUGGCUCGCAACUGACGCUCAGACACGACAGCAUGGGGAGCGAACGGG